ncrna:unclassified sequences chromate-resist RNA
CGGGGACAUGCAGACUCCCCAUUAGACGGUGUUCGUCCAAGCUCUGC